rnacentral:misc_RNA from 1 species
GAUGAAGAACGUAGCGAAAUGCAAUACUUGGUGUGAAUUGCAGAAUCCCGUGAACCAUCGAGUCUUUGAACGCAAGUUGCGCCCGAAGCCAUUAGGCCGAGGGCACGCCUGCCUGGGCGUCACACGUCGUUGCCCCCCCAUCUACUCCUUCGGGAUUGCGGGGGGCGGAUGAUGGCCUCCCGUGCGCCUCGUCGCGCGGUUGGCAUAAAUACCAAGUCCUCGGCGACGCACGCCACGACAAUCGGUGGUUGCGAAACCUCGGUUGCCCGUCGUGUGCGGUCGUCGCGCAUCGAGGGCUCGAAAAAAUUGCCGGGCUCCGGCUCGGCUUUCAACGCGACCCCAGGUCAGGCGGGGUUACCCGCUGAAUUUAAGCAUAUCAAUAAGCGGAGGA